AUGAACGCUGACAGAAUGCUUAACACAUGCCAGUCACCUUGAAUUUGGGUUUUUAACUUAGGUUUGGGUGGCGGACGGGUGAGUAACGCGUAAAGAACUUGCCUCACAGCUAGGGACAACAUUUGGAAACGAAUGCUAAUACCUAAUAUUAUGAUAAUAGGGCAUCCUAUAAUUAUGAAAGCUAUAAGCGCUGUGAGAGAGCUUUGCGUCCCAUUAGCUAGUUGGAGAGGUAACGGCUCACCAAGGCGAUGAUGGGUAGCCGGCCUGAGAGGGUGAUCGGCCACAAGGGGACUGAGACACGGCCCUUACUCCUACGGGAGGCAGCAGUGGGGAAUAUUGGACAAUGGACCGAGAGUCUGAUCCAGCAAUUCUGUGUGCACGAUGAAGUUUUUCGGAAUGUAAAGUGCUUUCAGUUGGGAAGAAACAAAUGACGGUACCAACAGAAGAAGUGACGGCUAAAUACGUG
rnacentral:rRNA from 1 species